AUGUGGAAACUGACGAGCAUCUACGGUGAGCCUAUCUGGAGCUGUAAACGCCGUACCAUUCAGCCACUGAGGGAUUUGCAUGCCCAGUCGAGAUUGCCGUGGGUUGUAAUAGAGGACUUCAACGAGAUUCUUUACUCGGAUGAAAAAGAGGGUGGGGCUCCCAGAAGCCAGCCUUGCCUCCAGGCCUUCCAGGAUGCCCUAACUGAUUGUUCACUUGAGGAUCUAGGCUUCAACGGAGACAAGUUUACAUGGUUUUGUGGAGGGCUGCGAGAGAGACUGGACCGAGCUGUCUCUAAUGAGACAUGGCUGUUAAUGCACCCGUUAGCUAGACUCAGUAACUUGGAGAUGGGUAAGUCGGACCAUAGGCCGAUUUGCCUUGAUACAGAUUAUCUAGAAGGGGUGGCAGAACCUACUGUAAUUGCCCCACGUAAGUUCAAGGCGAGGUGGCUCGAGGAGGAAACUGUGGAAGAAAUAGUUUAA
rnacentral:rRNA from 1 species